ensembl:lncRNA
CCUGCAUCCGGGCGGCGCCGGGCUGCGGUGAGGCGGAGAGCGGCGUGCGGUGAGCGCGUGCGUAAACGUGGGAGGAUACAGGACAGGAGACCUGGAACGUCCGUGCCGUGAGAGACCGGCCGGUCCUCCUGCAGUCCUCUCACACCUGCAGGGUCAGAACAGGUGAACAGACUGAGACGGCUGUUGGUGUGCAGUCCCUGACAGGAGCAGCGGAAGAGCCUUAAGGAAGCGGGGCUCUCCCAGAAGAGAGAGGCACGCAAACACUGCUGCUGUAAAGGUACUUCCCCGCAGUUCUUCCGUGUUUAAGGGACUGGGCUUUACUGGAGGUGCUUUGUCUUGGCCACUGCCACUCCAAACCGAGCUGCAGUGCAGAAGCUGGCUAUCAGAGCUACUGGCAGCAUCGCACUGAAUAUCCAGGUAGUUCACAGCAGCAAUGAAGGGGGGAGGAGGAGGUAAAGGAGAGAGGGCCGCGUUACAGCGGUGCCUCAGCGCACGGCGUCAGCAUCCCGAUUCGGCCCCGCAGCUUCAGGUGAUGGGCUGCGACAAUUGCGUGUGCAGCCCUGAGCUCCUCUGCACUCAGCGGUGAGAAACGGGACCCGCCAGAGAUCUGUCAGAGCGCUCCGUCUCUGCUGAGCGCGGUACCGACAGCCGCGCACCGCUCCGCGCCACUCACCGCGCCGCGUCCACCCGCAGCUCCUGGAGGGCCGUCCGCAGGCUGCGCUCCUCCUCGUCCUCGUCGUCGUCGUCGUCGUCCUGCUGCUGCUGCUGCUGCUCCUCCUCGUCCUCGUGCCGCCUGUUUGCAAGCCAAGGACACGUGAAAGGAACGUCAGCGGGACUGAGGCGGAGCUGCACCCAGCCUGUGGUGGGCGACCCAAUAAAAGCCAACUGUUUCGUAAGCGUGAUUCCUCGCUCCUCUCUCAGCGGGUAUUUUUUCGCCAAAGAGGUGUUGCUGAGCAGCAGGAUCCGUUCC